AGUUGUAUCAGAUUUCUUACAUCAUGGACAUGUUCCCAGUAGCUGUGUACAAAUAGUUUCUACUACUGCUUCCCUCUUUUCCUUGUUUGUUCUGAAUGUGCAGCUAUACACAAUGUGUAGAAGUGUAAUAAUAUUGAAGUAGUAGCACUGAACUAUUCUGUCAGUUAGAACAAAGCAUCAAUUUUUAAUUGCUUUGAUCUAAUAACAUAAAAAAAACAUAAGCUUUGGAGUAGCAGCACUGAACUAUUCUGUCAGUAGCAACACUGAACUAUUUUGUCAGUUAGAACAAAGCAUCAAUUUUCUGUCAGUUUGAAGGUUAUUUACUUUGAUCUAAUAACAGCAAAAACCUGAAUAAGUUGUUUAGUUGAGCUUUGGAGUUCAUUUUAAGUCUUUGUUUGUUGAGUUGAUGCCCCAUUUUUGUUUUUGUUUUGCGAAAUACGAGAUGUGGACAGAACAUGUGCUAUGCUUUUAUGAUAUAGACUUAUGGCAAAGAUGUGGACAAAGCACGUGCUAUGCAAUAUCUCACUUAAAUUAAUAUCUCUAUGUUACUAACAGUUUGCUCUUGUUUACAAAUGCAGUGUAUAUUUGAGUGGGUGUAUUUCCUACAGUAUUCCAACUUAUAUUUUAUUAGGUGACUCUAGCUUAACCCUUAUUAAUUUUACAAGGUGAUAUUUGUAAUUUUUUUAGGCUUAGUGUCACCUAUUGUCGGCCUCCUCUACAUCCUAUCCAAGUGCCGCCUCCUCUACUUCUUUGCCCCAACUGAGAGCAUUUGACAGGAGAAAGGUGCGACGGCGCCCGGGUGCCCCGGCACCCGGUUAUCCCGUCCGUCCAGCGGCACGAGGAUCCGUGCUGAGCACUGUAGAGGCGCAGAUGGGUCACUGUAGAGGCGCAGAGUGGUUGCAGCAUUAGAGUAUUUUGGACCCUUUUUAAAGGAGACAAAGACAGAAGGGAAGGGGCGGUAGGUUUCAGAGUUAGGCAGGGCAGGUCUAGGCAUGUCAGGAAUCAUUUGAUCCCACGAGAUGGAUGAAACGACAGCAUACAGCUGCUGCAUGCGCCCGUUCAUUUUAGAGGAGAUUCUCGUUCGCCACGUGUUGUUAUGCUUGCUCACUCCAGCUUCCAGCUUCUCUUCUGGGAUGUUUUUAAUUAGGAUGUUUCUCCUGGGAUUUAAGUGAGAGAGAGAGAGAGUAAACAGAGAAAAAUAAUCUUCGAUCUGAGAGGAGCUGUGUGAGAGAGACAAGAAUUUCUUAGGACGCUUCUUUUCCUGAAUUUUAAAAGAAAAAAGGAAGAGAGAGAGAGAGAGGUGCUGUGAGACGUCAGACUCAAAGGAAGAGAAAAGGAAGAGAGAGAGGUGUUGUGUGUCAGAGAGAGAGGUGAUGUGAGAGAUAGAAUAAAAAUAUAGAAUGAAGAGAUGUAUUGCGUGACAGUCUAAGAGAGGAAAGGACAGAAAUGUGGACCGACACCGUUUGCAUUUUUCUUUACUACUGGCUGAGAUGUCAUAUCCUGCUGCUCCAUUUGAAAUCCUCUCAGAUUCCCUUGAUUAACAACCAGUACAUCUGCUAAUCUGUUGUUUGCUACAGUACACGACACAUAUCCCCAAAGACUGGAAUCUGUACAAACUGUGCUGAUAAGGGGGUGCCUAGGCACCCGGGUGCUGAAAAUCCACUCUCCAUUUGACAGAGUAUGCAGCUGAAAGUGGAUUCUAAGUUCAUGGAAAAAGCAGCAGUGCGACCACAAGCAAACUAAGGAGGUCAUAAUCUUGAAAGUGCUAGUGCAGUGGAUAAGAACAUCGGUACAUGUGAUUGGGAGCCCAAAAGACUAAUAAGAAGGUACUCCCUCUGUAAAGAACUAGAAGAGUGUUUAGAUAACUAUUUUAGUGAUCCUAUGAUGUCAAAAAUUCAUACAAGUUGUGGAUGUCACUUCUUUUUGUCACUUCCUAUUUUGUCUUAUGUGCAGUUUUCUAGACGACAUUCUAUGGAAUUUUCACAUACAUGAAACUGAAAUUAAUAUCAGAGGUAAUCAGAUGAUGUAAUUGUGGUCAACUAGAUUUGCUUAAUUUGUGUGUCAAGGCCUGAAACUGCUGACAUUUUAUAGUUUCCUAUUAAAUUGAAUAUUCACUUGAUGCCUUUAAGGAAGUUGAUGAGAAAUUCUCUUGAUGAUGUAGACGUCUUUGUUAUAAAAAAGUGGGAAUGGUGCACUCAUUAUAUUCUUUGAGUGUUGUAAAUCAAUGUAUGCAGAUCAUGUUUUAUAAUACAUGUACUUUCAAUUGUUCUCUUCUUGUUCAGGUUGGAGAUGUCCCCGAAGACUGGUCAAGAUACCUUGCUGUAACCAUAUGCUCCGAGCUCAAGUAGAAGACUUACAAGCUUUACUCUCUGUGCUAGUUCCAUUCUGUACAACUUGGACGUCUUCAAACUGCAUCUGCUAAAUUAUGAUGCAAUUCUUUAUGUGUAAUCUGUGAAUAGCAUACAUUGUAACGAUGUAAAUGUUUGACUAUGAGAAUUUAUAAUAUAAAUGUGAAGUACAUGUGCAGUUUCCUUCUGCCUUAUUUGAA